rnacentral:tRNA from 1 species
GUCCCUGUGGCUCAGUGGUAGAGCAUCGGAGCGUAAAUCCGAAGGUCUGAGAUUCGAUUCCUCGUGGGGAUC